UGUAGAGUCAACUAACCGGAAAAAUUUAUCAGAAACCAUAAAUCUGAGUUAUGCAAGGGUUCAAAUUCUGCCUCUACCU
rnacentral:tRNA from 1 species